rnacentral:rRNA from 1 species
CUGCACGCUGGCGGCGUGCCUCAUCCCUGCAAGUCGAGCGCACAGACGAGGAGCUUGCUCCUCUGACGUUAGCGGCGGACGGGUGAGUAACACGUGGAUAACCUACCUAUAAGCCUGGGAUAACUUCGGGAAACCGGAGCUAAUACCGGAUAAUAUAUUGAACCGCAUGGUUCAAUAGUGAAAGACGGUUUUGCUGUCACUUAUAGAUGGAUCCGCGCCGCAUUAGCUAGUUGGUAAGGUAACGGCUUACCAAGGCAACGAUGCGUAGCCGACCUGAGAGGGUGAUCGGCCACACUGGAACUGAGACACGGUCCAGACUCCUACGGGAGGCAGCAGUAGGGAAUCUUCCGCAAUGGGCGAAAGCCUGACGGAGCAACGCCGCGUGAGUGAUGAAGGUCUUCGGAUCGUAAAACUCUGUUAUUAGGGAAGAACAAAUGUGUAAGUAACUAUGCACGUCUUGACGGUACCUAAUCAGAAAGCCACGGCUAACUACGUG